rnacentral:tRNA from 1 species
GCUUUCGUGGUGUAAUUGGAAAGCACGUUCGACUUGCAAUCGAAAGGCCCCGAGCUCGAAUCCUGAGGAGAUCA